rnacentral:lncRNA from 1 species
CUCAAUUCUAGAGAAAUUACAUUAACCAAAUACACAGAAUCUUCAAUAUUCUGCAAACCCUAAAAAAAUCCCAAUUUCUUUCCAAUUUUUGGAGAGUGAAAUCCUAUUUAGGGAAUGCAGAGAGAUGAUAAGAAAAUCCCCAUUUUCUGAUACCCUUUUAGGAGGCUGUAAGCCCCAAAUUUCCCUCGCCGGCGGCCGGAAUUGCCACCGGAAACACGUCAAUCUUUUUUCUGAAGGUUCUUGAACCCACCCAACCACCCCCCAUAUAUACCCCUCAAUCUUUUUUUGAAAAAACAAACACCCUUUUCAGUCUUGAGUCAGAAAAGUUGCUCAAAAAACAAUCUUUUUUGCAAAACUAACACCCUUUUCAACCUUGUGUUCAAAAAGCAGGUCUUUUUUGCAAAAGCUGACACCCUUUUCAACCUUGUGUUCAAAAAUUAGGUCUUUUUCGCAAAAAAAUAAAUACCCUUUUCAAUAUUUGCUUCAAAAAAGCAAUCUUUUUAGCAAAAACAAACAUCCUUUUCAGUCUUUUUCUAAUGGGGCCAG